GGGGGCGUAAAGGUUUCGACGGGGGUCUUGAAGUGUGAUAAGCGAGCGGAGAAUGGCGUGAUCUCCAUAACCUGCGCCACGUUUAAAUAUAAACGCAAGAAAUAACAUUACAGUAUCUACAAACGAUAGAGUACUGGUAGCUGCUUAAGUCAGCUUCUGUCCACCGAGGGAGUACCGCGGCUCUCGCCUGGGCAUCGAUGAGCGGUGAACGACUGUCGGAAGUGUCCGUGUCCGUCAGUUGUAUACGGACUACCUGAGACUUCAGCCCGUUUAUCGGCGGUGGUCACAGGGAAUCAUAAUAGGUAAAAUACGCUCGUAGAAAGUUGCAUGAAUGGAUUUUCGGACAGGGGUUCAAUUCCCCUCGCCUCCACCA
rfam:Ruminococcus flavefaciens 007c Rf007c_contig00682, whole genome shotgun sequence.